rnacentral:piRNA from 1 species
UNGCUUGUGUUCAGUAUUGAAAGUCUGCCU